GAGAAAAGAAUAGUGUCUCCAAAAAUACACAAAGACAUCUCUUAAAGACAUUUUCUACCUACAUGUCACCUUCUUAUUGGUUUUAAUACUUUUACAGUUUAUCAAUUAAAAUUUUAAUCUAACGACUAAAGACAUUCCACUUUUAUCACCAGAUGCUCUUACACACACAAUAAACACAAAUAACAAAAGGUGUAGUCAUCUUUUAUUAACUACUGAGUAGACCUCGCCGGAGUCUAUCGCAAUCGACGAGAUAAGCAAAGCCAUACGCGAGAUUCAUUAGAGUAGCCUCGUGAAGCUCUUCAUUAACCGUCGCAGUCGCGUCCGUCGAGAAAAAAACCCUAAACCCCUUUACAAACGCUUCACGCGCCGUCGUCUCACAGCAUAGGUUCGUCAUCACUCCGAUAACGAUCACCUCCUUCACUCCGAUCUUGUCCAGCUUCUCCUGAAGGUGCGUGUUGUUAAACGCACUGUACGUGCUCUUCUCCACGAUUUCGUCUGGUCCGGUGACCUGGCGAUUGAUUUCCGGGAUGAUUUCGGAAUCAGUGGUUCCGUCGAGGAUUAGAUCGCCGUUCCACCACUCUCCGAGCAUGCCGUGGUCGGUUGGGGAUUUGUGGUUGUGGCGCGUGAAGAAUACGGGGAUUGAAGCGCGUCGGCAGAUGUCGAUGGUGGUGAGAGCGUUUUGGAGGAUUGGUUCAGCCAUAGAGUAGAAGUGAUUCUGCAUAUCGAUGACGAGAAGAGCUGCGAUUUUAGGAUUUGGCUCUCGCUUUCGUGUCUCGUACGUUCUCGAUGAUGAAGAAGCCAUUUCUGGCGGUGAAGAUGAAUCUCUUGAUCGGUGGAGAUAUAUUUGGGAACGAAAGGAUUUAGUCACUCACUUAUUGGGCCAAUAUAAAAUGGGCCUAGCCCACGUAUGAUGUAAUCUUGACCUAUGUUGGUUAUACAGCUUGUGUUGAACAGCUUCCAC